rnacentral:rRNA from 1 species
AUACAGAGGGUGCGAGCGUUAAUCGGAAUUACUGGGCGUAAAGCGCGCGUAGGCGGCUACUUAAGUCAGAUGUGAAAUCCCCGGGCUCAACCUGGGAACUGCAUCUGAUACUGGGUAGCUAGAGUUUAGGAGAGGGAAGUAGAAUUUCAGGUGUAGCGGUGAAAUGCAUAGAGAUCUGAAGGAAUACCAGUGGCGAAGGCGGCUACCUGGCCUAAAACUGACGCUGAGGUGCGAAAGCGUGGGUAGCAAACGGGAUUAGAAACCCGGGUAGUCC